ACAAAAACAAUAAGCCUUUACUAUGAUCACCAUCAGAAUCACAACUCAUAGAAUAAAAAAAAAACAAUCAUUUAUCAAGACAAACUUUAAAAAAAAGACAAUUAUUAUUAUUCAUGUUUCUAUUAAUAAAUGUCAGAAUCUAGUCUAGUAUCUGUCUGCUGAUCGUUCAGCCUAUGAAAGCUUUCUGUUGGGUAGAUCUUUCCUGGGAUCAUUCCUUUCCACAUAGGAAAUGUUUCUUUUUAUGUUACCAGAAGCAGCAGCAUUGUUUGUAUAGAAUAAACAGAUGAGGAACAUGAGCAGUUAUAGACAUCUACAGAAAAACUGAGGGAAGAUUGCACACUAUUGCAAUAUUUUUUUAUUGACAGGCGAUACCUGGGAAGCGUCUACUUGGCUGCUUUGCAACCAAGAUGUCACCAAAAUAAAUCUAAAAAAUAGGAAUUUCCUCUCUUUAAAGGGUUUCAGGCUAAUUACUGAAAUGGUGUUAAGCAUGUGUGUUUCUACCACUGUUUUACAGAAGUGGAAGAUGAAAUCAAACACAGACAAAGAGACAUAAUCCUCUGUUGGAGAUGUUUGCCUCGAUGAGUGAGAUUUACAACCCUGUCUUUCUGACUGGCGUUUAGGCCUCUUCAGACCCCGCAGAUAAAAGAGGAAAGUUUUCAACCUGCAGACAAGCAGAGAGAAGAUGAUGACAGCAGGGCUCACCUCACCCCAGGGAGGUGCGGAGCCCAGAGGUGUUGUGAAGAAAUGGAUUUCACGAAAGCUGCUGUGCACUGAGAUGACUAAAAUGGAGGAGAGUGAAGUCGGGCACAGCACAGAGGGGUGUGGGUAACGUCGAGCCAAAGAAACGAGGCAAAAGCAUCGGCCUAUGUGGAUUCCUGCUCUACUGAUCAUGUGCAUUGACUGCCAACCUGACGGCAACCUCAGACAAUCAUCCUCAUCCCCUCUCCCAUCAACCUUGGUUUGGCCCGGCUGGCCACAGCAUCCAAGGAAUCAAUCAGCAUUGAGAUAUGGGCAGCCGUCACGGUGGUGACCAAUUUUGGCAUGCAAGACUCUGCCUUAAUAGACAAAGAGACGUUGAUCAAUAGCCAAUUUGGCCUUGGAAUGAGGCAAGAAUGGAUCAAGGAAAAUUCAUUUCUUCUUUCUUCUUCGCCCGGAGAAGGCUGGAGAAGCAUGAUGAACAUUCACAACUAGUACAGUAAAGUAGUGAAUCAUUCAUCGGCUAUGUACGACUAACCUUGGCAGUCCAGAUAAGAUUGUAAGAUUGCUUCUUUGUGAUUUGCAGCUUUGGUAUGUGCGAUAUAUUAUGCGCUGAAGAAAAGUCAAAAGUGCAUUUAUUCAAUUACUGCAUUUUUUUUAGUACAAUUGUAAAGAGUAUUUCUGUUUGAUUCUACUUUAUACUUGUACUGCAUACAUUUCAGUAGGAAAUAUUGUACUUUUUAUGUUAUUUAAGAUUUGUAAAAAGAGGUAAAAUCCUCCAAUAUUUCUUAAAAAAAGGCAAAUAUUAGAAGAAAAAGUCAAAAACAUGAAUGCAAAUUUGUGACAAAGAACUUAGUUUUAUGUUCUUUCCUAGCCCAUUAUUCAUCUCAUGAAUCCUUAGAAGGGAACCACCGGACUGCACAACGUUCAGUAAUUGUAUAUGACAGUUUUAACAGUAAAAUCCUACUAUUAAUCCAAUAAUAUAUAAUAAUACAAUAUACAAUUUUCCUGCAUAAAGAAUGCUUUUACUUAUUAAAAAAACUUUAAGUA